GUUUAGUUCUUAGGUUUUCAGGCAAUGGCUGAUAUUUUUGACAGAAUAUAGAUGAAUCUAUCUUAAUUGCUAUAUUAGUAUGUGCUUACCAGUUGCAAAAGGAAUUUAAUGAUUUGGAGAAAGGCUAUCUGUCCUCCCCUUUCUUCUGACAUUACCAGUAAUGUGCUUGGCCAGCUGUACAAUACUGUCGAUGUGUACAGAAAUUCUUUUCUGAAAAGCACAGGUGAUCAUGUUACAUCCUGAAGCCUGAGAUCUGAUUACUCUUAUUAUAGUAGCCUGAAAAGUUACAAAUGUCAUUAGUAGUCAUUAAAUUACUCUGCUUGGCUUUCUAAAGGAGCUCUGGUAUUUAACUCAGCAAUCUCUCAUGGCUGCAAAGUCUAUAAUUUGAACAUGCAUUUUCAUGGGGCUGCAUAUAUUUUGACAGAGUCUAUGUUUACUGCUCUAAAAAUGACUCUCAGGAAUGAACGCAGAACCUGAACCAAAGAAUUCUAAUAGAAAUUCAUGGAAAUCCAAGUCUUGGAAUUAAGUGUGUCAACACUGAUAUUGAAAGGACAGUUGCCUUGGAGAUAAGAGAAUGAGAAACUAGAAUGGGAAGAGAAAGUCCUGGUGUGUCCACCUUUGGUUUCCUGUCUUCAGCGAAUUCUGAGCACCAUGGAGUAGAUGAUGGUUAGCCAUAGGGUACAAUCAACGGUCGAUGGUUUUGAUUUUAAUUCCAAACUCACCGACAGCGUUGAAUGUUCACUGAAGCAACCUCAAAACUCAGAAUUCUACUCACUUUACAGUAUCUUACACUCAAGAAUCUAAAACUUUGCAGUGCCUUCAGAUCAGUGUCAUCACACCAGUACCCAUGGAAAGCCAGUAUCUCCAGCCCUUCCCUUCUGUCUCUCAGAGAGCCACAAGGAAAUACAUUUGAUCUCAAAAUGUUGUAAAACAUCAGCAUCCAUUCAUUGUUUUCUUCUGAAGAGCAAGGACACUUAACGGAUUUUUCUGUAUUAUUUUAUGUGAGACAACGCGUUGAAUGCUUUAUUCUUUGUAAUAAAUAAAAUGCUUACCUGGUUCUUAAACUUCUCAAUAUUUUUUCUCCCUUCCUCCUCCUUCUCUUCUUCAAAUAAAUCACUUAUUUUUCAAUAUUUGAAAUGGUGAAUGGUAAACCAAGACUUGAAGACAGAGCCAAAAUUUACCUUGCAGAAAUAUACAUCAGACCUUAAAAUAGUAUUUUUUUCAAUAUAUCUUCCCAUUUAUUAAUUGAUAUCUUUAAAAAAUGUAAAAAAAUUCAAAUUAUCUUGGAUCCAUGUGAGAGAUACUUAUGUGAUAUUUACCAACAUUUCAUAUUAAUAUAGAUAUUUAGGUAAUUUGUUGACUAUUAUAUCACUUUGAGAGUUAUUUAUGCUUUUCUGUCUUGUCUCCUACCUCCAGCCCAACCUAUAUACAUUAAUAUAUAAAUAAUUAGACUCUUAAAAAAGUAAAAUUUUGCUAAGUCUACAGAACAAUAGAAAAUGAGAAGUGGGAAUUCCAUACAACAGAAAUUUUCUGAAUUCUUGUCUGUCCAGGCACAAAGCUCAUUUCUGAGGUCUGCAAUUCUCUCUAUAAAAUCCGUGUGCAUUGUCAGACAUCAGAACGGGUCCUGGAUCCCUGUUGGCAUAUGUGGCAGAGUCAUGGCC
rnacentral:lncRNA from 10 species